rnacentral:rRNA from 1 species
AGAGUUUGAUCAUGGCUCAGGAUGAACGCUGGCGGUAUGCUUAACACAUGCAAGUCGAACGGGGGACUUCGGUCCCUAGUGGCGGACGGGUGAGUAACGCGUGAGAACAUGCCUAUCGAUUGGGGACAACAGUUGGAAACGACUGCUAAUACCGAAUGUGCCUACGGGUGAAAGAUUUAUCGUCGAUAGAUUGGCUCGCGUCAGAUUAGCUAGUUGGUAGGGUAACGGCUUACCAAGGCGACGAUCUGUAACUGGUCUGAGAGGAUGACCAGUCACACUGGAACUGAGACACGGUCCAGACUCCUACGGGAGGCAGCAGUGGGGAAUUUUCCGCAAUGGGCGAAAGCCUGACGGAGCAAUACCGCGUGUGGGAGGACGCUUUUUGGAGUGUAAACCACUUUUAUUAGGGAAGAGAAUGACGGUACCUAAUGAAUCAGCAUCGGCUAACUCCGUGCCAGCAGCCGCGGUAAUACGGGGGAUGCAAGCGUUAUCCGGAAUUAUUGGGCGUAAAGCGUCCGUAGGUGGCUCAUCAAGUCUGUUGUCAAAGCGUGCGGCUUAACCGCAUACGGGCGAUGGAAACUGAUGAGCUAGAGUGCGAUAGGGGUCAGGGGAAUUCCCGGUGUAGCGGUGAAAUGCGUAGAUAUCGGGAAGAACACCAGUGGCGAAAGCGCCUGACUGGGUCUGCACUGACACUGAGGGACGAAAGCUAGGGGAGCGAAAGGGAUUAGAUACCCCUGUAGUCCUAGCCGUAAACGAUGACAACUAGGUGUGGUUCGAUCGACGAGCCGUGCCGUANCCAACGCGUUAAGUUGUCCGCCUGGGGAGUACGCACGCAAGUGUGAA